rnacentral:rRNA from 1 species
AGUGAACGCUGGCGGUAGGCCUAACACAUGCAAGUCGAACGGCAGCACAGUAAGAGCUUGCUCUUACGGGUGGCGAGUGGCGGACGGGUGAGGAAUACAUCGGAAUCUACUUUUUCGUGGGGGAUAACGUAGGGAAACUUACGCUAAUACCGCAUACGACCUACGGGUGAAAGCAGGGGAUCUUCGGACCUUGCGCGAUUGAAUGAGCCGAUGUCGGAUUAGCUAGUUGGCGGGGUAAAGGCCCACCAAGGCGACGAUCCGUAGCUGGUCUGAGAGGAUGAUCAGCCACACUGGAACUGAGACACGGUCCAGACUCCUACGGGAGGCAGCAGUGGGGAAUAUUGGACAAUGGGCGCAAGCCUGAUCCAGCCAUACCGCGUGGGUGAAGAAGGCCUUCGGGUUGUAAAGCCCUUUUGCUGGGAAAGAAAAGCAGUAGGUUAAUACCCCGCUGUUCUGACGGUACCCAAAGAAUAAGCACCGGCUAACUUCGUG